rnacentral:rRNA from 1 species
UACGUAGGGCGCAAGCGUUGUCCGGAAUUAUUGGGCGUAAAGAGCUCGUAGGCGGUUUGUCGCGUCUGCUGUGAAAACCCGCGGCUCAACUGCGGGCCUGCAGCCGAUACGGGCAGGCUAGAGUUCGGUAGGGGAGACUGGAAUUCCUGGUGUAGCGGUGAAAUGCGUAGAUAUCUGGAGGAACACCGGUGGCGAAGGCGGCAUCCUGGACCAAUUCUGACGCUGAGGAGCGAAAGCCAGGGGAGCAAACGGG